GGUGAGGUGCCCGAGUGGCUGAAGGAGCACGCCUGGAAAGUGUGUAUACGGCAACGUAUCGAGGGUUCGAAUCCCUCCCUCACCGCCA
rnacentral:tRNA from 1 species